CUGUAAGUCUUUCGUUCGCUUCAUCAUCCCUCAUCAAACAAAAAAGGAAACCUCCACCUCUCCUCGCAUAAUCUCCACCAAAUCAAUCGCUUAGUCAAUCAGCCAGAAAAAAAAUCAAUCGCUACGUCUUCGUGCUCCCUCGAUCUCCUUCCUGAUCCGCUAAGUCAUUCUCUCCAAUCCUCGAGUCCUUCUCACCUCAGCUCGCCUCCUCCUCCCCCUGAAGUAGGACUUCGCCGCCGAUCGCCUCCAUUCAUCACCGACGAACUUGAUGUAAGUCUAAUCAUGAAACCAGGACCACAACUUCUUGGAAGGGACAUGACCCAAUUCAAGCUCGUGAUCGUGUAUUUGACUAGUUCCUGAUCUAUGCUCUUUUUCACAGCGAUCUUCGUGUAAGUUCUUUUAAAUUGAUCUUUUCCCUUUGGAUCUUCCAAGGCUGAUAUGUUAUUUUGAUAUGUGAGGAACUAUGGUGUUCCACCGCACUUGAUUCGUGAGCUGUAUCAGAUAUAGCGGCGAGCUCGUUCUCCUGCUCCCAGGUCCACUCGGCACGCUUCUCCUCCACCUAUUGUUGCCGCCGUGCCCGGCGGUAGAGGAGAAUCCGACACCCACCCGCUGGCCUAGAACAACAUAUAUUGUGGGGCAGCCGGAUCUGAGUCUCACUGCGAGGGCUCGACCUUCUCAAUCUGUGGCUGUAGUAGGUGUAGAACUCCCUGGCGAAGGAGAGGACGUCACUAACUCAUUUUCAGUGGAUUGGAUUCAUGAAGGUCCAAGAAAGAAAUAAGUUUUAGUCCACCUUCACCCCCACCUCUCCAACUAAUAAGUUUUAGUAUGCACUGAAUUUCUAUGAGGCAGCCAGAAUCUCUCUCAUGUGUGAACUAUACACAAGAACUGCCUAUUACUUGCCUUUCAUUUAUCACCUGAUGUGUGUACCAAAAUGUAUACGAAAGCUACAUGACUCUCUAUAACAGGUCAGGUUGUGUAUUGAGUUUAACAGAAUCAUACACUCGCUCAAUCUAUGUUGUUUGCUGCAUGUGUUUACAUGAUAGAGUGAUCGCUGCUCUGCUUUUGUCUGUGGAUGUAGUUCGGAAACUCAUUCAGUGAGUUGAGGUUGAAGGUAGACAUGCUGUUGCUGAGUGUGGAUGGGAACGACAAGAUGCAUAUCUGCAUGCUACCUGCCAUUGGAGAGACUUCUUAUUUUCCUGAUAGGUUCACACUUGCCGAACUGAUGUAUUGAACUUUUGACAAUUUGGAUUGGUUGCCGAAAUAACCUAUUCUCCUUUUGUUGAUAUUUCUGAAAGAGACUAUUAUUUCCAUGUUUGUUUCGGGUUUUCAAGAUGACAAUUUCAUACUUUUGGACUGGAGCUACCAAAAUAUUUAUGAGGUUAAAUUACUAUAUACAAUAUUCUUUUUCUUUUUUAUGUAAGCGGAAUCUGCUACUCCCUUAAUCAAAAGUUUAAGAUCUGGGGUCAGCUUAUUGCAUGACCACUCUUUUUUUA